AUGGAGAGAUAUAGGGAGCAUAAGAAGGACUUGCAUAUGGUGUUCAUUGACUUGGAGAAGGCCUAUGAUAAGAUACCGCGGAAUGUCAUGUGGUGGGCCUUGGAGAAACACAAAGUCCCAGCAAAGUACAUUACCCUCAUCAAGGACAUGUACAAUAAUGUUGUGACAAGUGUUCGAACAAGUGAUGUCGACACCGAUGACUUCCCGAUUAAGAUAGGACUGCAUCAGGGGUCAGCUUUGAGCCCUUAUCUUUUUGCAUUGGUGAUGGAUGAGGUCACAAGGGGUAUACAAGGAGAUAUCCCAUGGUGUAUGCUCUUUGCGGAUGAUGUGGUACUAGUUGACGAUAGUCGGACGGGGGUAAAUAGGAAGUUAGAGUUAUGGAGACAAACCUUGGAAUCGAAAGGGUUUAGGCUUAGUAGAACUAAAACGAGUACAUGA
rnacentral:rRNA from 1 species